CUUUGCCUACGGGAGGCAGCAGUGGGGAAUAUUGCGCAAUGGGGGCAACCCUGACGCAGCAACGCCGCGUGAUUGAAGAAGGCCUUCGGGCUGUAAAGAUCUUUAAUCAGGGACGAAAAAUGACGGUACCUGAAGAAUAAGCUCCGGCUAACUACGUGCCAGCAGCCGCGGUAAUACGUAGGGAGCAAGCGUUAUCCGGAUUUACUGGGUUUAAAGGGUGCGUAGGCGGACUGUUAAGUCAGCGGUAAAAGCCCGGGGCUCAACCCCGGCGAGCCGUUGAAACUGGCUGUCUUGAGAUGUCGAGG
rnacentral:rRNA from 1 species